rnacentral:tRNA from 1 species
CGGGAUGUGGCGCAGCUGGUAGCGCGCAUGCUUUGGGAGCAUGAUGCCGCAGGUUCAAAUCCUGUCAUCCCGACCA